rnacentral:rRNA from 1 species
GCCGUCGCUCAACGGAUAAAAGGUACUCCGGGGAUAACAGGCUUAUCUUCUCCAAGAGUUCAUAUCGACGAGAAGGUUUGGCACCUCGAUGUCGGCUCAUCGCAUCCUGGGGCUGAAGAAGGUCCCAAGGGUCCGGCUGUUCGCCGGUUAAAGCGGUACGUGAGCUGGGUUCAGAACGUCGUAAGACAGUUCGGUCCCUAUCUGUCGUGAGCGCAGGAAAUUUGAGAGGAUACGUCUUCAGUACGAGAGGACCAAGACGUACGAGCCUAUGGUGUUCCAGUUAUCGCGCCAGCGGUAGUUGCUGGGUAGCUAUGCUCGGAAAGGAUAAGCGCUGAAGGCAUAUAAGCGCCAAGCCUCCCUCAAGACUAGAUUUCCCUCCCCGCAAGGGGACGAAGACACCUUGAAGACUACAAGGUUGAUAGGCCAGAUGUGUAAGCCCCGUAAGGGGUUCAGCUUACUGGUACUAAUCUGUCGAGCGGCUUGACCAC